GAGAGCCGGAUGCUUGGAAACUUGCACGUCCGGUUCGGGAAGAGGGAUGGAGAAACUUGUCUCCGAAAGGGGAUGGAGCGCUUCAUCUCUACUUUCAC
rnacentral:ncRNA from 1 species